AGAGUUUGAUCCUGGCUCAGAACGAACGCUGGCGGCGUGCUUAAUACAUGCAAGUCGUGCGAGAAAGUUUAGCUUGCUAAACGAGUAAAGCGGCAAACGGGUGAGUAACACGUAAACAAUCUGCCCUUAAGUUCGGAAUAACAUUUCCAACGAGAUGCUAAUACCGGAUGUGGUCUAGAGUUCGCAUGGAUUCUGGAUUAAAGGUGACCUCUACUUGUAAGUUACUGCUUAGGGAUGAGUUUGCGGACCAUUAGCUUGUUGGUGGGGUAAAGGCCUACCAAGGCUGCGAUGGUUAGCCGACCUGAGAGGGUGAUCGGCCACAUUGGGACUGAGAUACGGCCCAGACUCCUACGGGAGGCAGCAGUAGGGAAUUUUGCGCAAUGGACGAAAGUCUGACGCAGCAACGCCGCGUAGGGAUGACGGUCUUCGGAUUGUAAACCUCUGUUGAGUGGGAAGAAAAGCCAAGUUGCUAAUAUCGCUUGGUCUGACGGUACCACUCGAGGAAGCUCCGGCUAACUACGUGCCAGCAGCCGCGGUAAUACGUAGGGAGCAAGCGUUGUUCGGAAUCACUGGGUGUAAAGGGAGCGUAGGCGGAGCGGUAAGUUAGGAGUUAAAUACACAGGCUCAACCUGUGGCCUGCUUUUAAUACUGCCGUUCUUGAGUAUUGGAGAGGGAAAUGGAAUUCCAGGUGUAGCGGUGGAAUGCGUAGAUAUCUGGAAGAACACCAGUUGCGAAGGCGGUUUCCUGGCCAAAUACUGACGCUGAGGCUCGAAAGCUAGGGGAGCGAACAGGAUUAGAUACCCUGGUAGUCCUAGCCGUAAACGAUGGAUACUAGUUGUUGGAGGAGUCAAUCCUUUCAGUGACGAAGCUAACGCAUUAAGUAUCCCACCUGGGGAGUACGCUCGCAAGGGUGAAACUCAAAGGAAUUGACGGGGGCCCGCACAAGCGGUGGAGCAUGUGCUUUAAUUCGAUGCAACGCGAAGGACCUUACCUGGGUUUGACAUGGGGAUGAAACUUUUUGGAGACAGAAAGCCUUCCUUCGGGAACAUUCUACACAGGUGCUGCAUGGUUGUCGUCAGCUCGUGUCGUGAGAUGUUGGGUUAAGUCCCGCAACGAGCGCAACCCUUGUCCUUAGUUGCCAGCGAGUAAUGUCGGGAACUCUAGGGAGACUGCCUGGUACAACCAGGAGGAAGGUGGGGAUGACGUCAAAUCAUCAUGGCCCUUACGCCCAGGGCUAGACACGUGCUACAAUGGCAGGAACAGCGGGACGCUAAGUCGUGAGGCUACGCUAAUCCCUUAAAUCCUGUCUCAGUUCGGAUUGGAGUCUGCGACUCGACUCCAUGAAGGUGGAAUCGCUAGUAAUCGCGGAUCAGCAUGCCGCGGUGAAUACGUUCCCGGGCCUUGUACACACCGCCCGUCAAGCCAUGAAAGACGGUAGUACCCGAAGUCGUGCGCCUAACCGCAAGGAGGGCAGCGCCUAAGGUAAGACUGUUAAUUGGGGCUAAGUCGGAACAAGGUA
rnacentral:rRNA from 1 species